AUGACGCUGGCGGCAGGCCUAAACAUGCAAGUCGAACGGUAACAUUUCUAGCUUGCUAGAAGAUGACGAGUGGCGGACGGGUGAGUAAUGCUUGGGAACUUGCCUUUGCGAGGGGGAUAACAGUUGGAAACGACUGCUAAUACCGCAUAAUGUCUUCGGACCAAACGGGGCUUCGGCUCCGGCGCAAAGAGAGGCCCAAGUGAGAUUAGCUAGUUGGUAAGGUAACGGCUUACCAAGGCGACGAUCUCUAGCUGUUCUGAGAGGAAGAUCAGCCACACUGGGACUGAGACACGGNCCAGACUCCUACGGGAGGCAGCAGUGGGGAAUAUUGCACAAUGGGGGAAACCCUGAUGCAGCCAUGCCGCGUGUGUGAAGAAGGCCUUCGGGUUGUAAAGCACUUUCAGUUGUGAGGAAAAGUUAGUAGUUAAUACCUUGCUAGCCGUGACGUUAACAACAGAAGAAGCACCGGCUAACUCCGUGCCAGCAGCCGCGGUAAUACGGAGGGUGCGAGCGUUAAUCGGAAUUACUGGGCGUAAAGCGCACGCAGGCGGUUUGUUAAGCUAGAUGUGAAAGCCCCGGGCUCAACCUGGGAUGGUCAUUUAGAACUGGCAGACUAGAGUCUUGGAGAGGGGAGUGGAAUUCCAGGUGUAGCGGUGAAAUGCGUAGAUAUCUGGAGGAACAUCAGGGCGAAGGCGACUCCCUGGCCAAAGACUGACGCUCAUGGCGAAAGGUGGACGAC
rnacentral:rRNA from 1 species